AUUGAACGCUGGCGGCAUGCUUUACACAUGCAAGUCGAACGGUAACAGGGUGCUUGCACCGCUGACGAGUGGCGAACGGGUGAGUAAUGCGUCGGAACGUGCCGAGUAGUGGGGGAUAACGCAGCGAAAGUUGUGCUAAUACCGCUUACGUACUGAGGUAGAAAGUGGGGGACCUUCGGGCCACACGCUAUUCGAGCGGCCGACGUCUGAUUAGCUAGUAGGUGAGGUAAAGGCUCACCUAGGCGACGAUCAGUAGCGGGUCUGAGAGGAUGAUCCGCCACACUGGUACUGAGACACGGCCCAGACUCCUACGGGAGGCAGCAGUGGGGAAUUUUGGACAAUGGGCGAAAGCCUGAUCCAGCCAUGCCGCGUGUCUGAAGAAGGCCUUCGGGUUGUAAAGGACUUUUGUCAGGGAGGAAAUCCCUAGUGCUAAUAACACUGGGGGAUGACAGUACCUGAAGAAUAAGCACCGGCUAACUACGUGCCAGCCGCCGCCGUAA
rnacentral:rRNA from 1 species